AAGUCGUAACAAGGUUUCCGUAGGCGAACCUGCGGAAGGAUCAUUAUCAAAAGUCAGUCGGGAGCCCUAGUGGCUGCCGUCUACACCCAAGUCUUUUGUGUACUCAUUGUUUCCUCGGCGGCGUAAGUCGCCGAAUGGACAAACUAAAACCUUUUUGUAAUUGCAAUCAGCGUCAUUAAAUAUAAUAAUAUUUACAACUUUCAACAACGGAUCUCUUGGUUCUG
rnacentral:misc_RNA from 1 species